GAAGCGGCUGAAUUGAUUCUUCGGAUGAUUUUCAGUUGACUGAGCGGCGGACGGGUGAGUAACGCGUGGGUGACCUGCCCCAUACCGGGGGAUAACAGCUGGAAACGGCUGCUAAUACCGCAUAAGCGCACAGAGCUGCAUGGCUCGGUGUGAAAAACUCCGGUGGUAUGGGAUGGGCCCGCGUCUGAUUAGGCAGUUGGCGGGGUAACGGCCCACCAAACCGACGAUCAGUAGCCGGCCUGAGAGGGCGACCGGCCACAUUGGGACUGAGACACGGCCCAAACUCCUACGGGAGGCAGCAGUGGGGAAUAUUGCACAAUGGGGGAAACCCUGAUGCAGCGACGCCGCGUGAGCGAAGAAGUAUUUCGGUAUGUAAAGCUCUAUCAGCAGGGAAGAUAAUGACGGUACCUGACUAAGAAGCCCCGGCUAACUACGUGCCAGCAGCCGCGGUAAUACGUAGGGGGCAAGCGUUAUCCGGAUUUACUGGGUGUAAAGGGAGCGUAGACGGCAAGGCAAGUCUGAUGUGAAAACCCAGGGCUUAACCCUGGGACUGCAUUGGAAACUGUCUGGCUCGAGUGCCGGAGAGGUAAGCGGAAUUCCUAGUGUAGCGGUGAAAUGCGUAGAUAUUAGGAAGAACACCAGUGGCGAAGG
rnacentral:rRNA from 1 species